rnacentral:rRNA from 1 species
CCUACGGGUGGCAGCAGUGAGGAAUAUUGGUCAAUGGACGAGAGUCUGAACCAGCCAAGUAGCGUGAAGGAUGACUGCCCUAUGGGUUGUAAACUUCUUUUAUAUGGGAAUAAAAUGUUCCACGUGUGGGAUUUUGUACGUAUCAUAUGAAUAAGGAUCGGCUAACUCCGUGUCAGCAGCCGCGGUAAUACGGAGGAUCCGAGCGUUAUCCGGAUUUAUUGGGUUUAAAGGGAGCGUAGGUGGAUGGUUAAGUCAGUUGUGAAAGUUUGCGGCUCAACCGUGAAAUUGCAGUUGAAACUGGGAGUCUUGAGUACAGGAGAGGUAAGCGGAAUUCGUGGUGUAGCGGUGAAAUGCUUAGAUAUCACGAAGAACUCCAGUUGCGAAGGCAGCUUACUGGACUGCAACUGACGCUGAGGCUCGAAAGUGUGGGUAGCAAACAGGAUUAGAUACCCUUGUAGUC